rnacentral:rRNA from 1 species
GACCCGUGGCAGACAGCUCAGUAACACGUGGCCAAACUACCCUAUGGACGAGGACACCCUCGGGAAACUGAGGCUAAUCCACGAUACGGCUCUCACGCUGGAAUGCGGGGAGCCGGAAAGGCUCCGGCGCCAUAGGAUGUGGCUGCGGCCGAUUAGGUAGACGGUGGGGUAACGGCCCACCGUGCCCAUAAUCGGUACGGGAUGUGAGAGCAAAUAGCCCGGAGAUGGAUUCUGAGACAAGAAUCCAGGCCCUACGGGGCGCAGCAGGCGCGAAACCUUUACACUGCACGCCAGUGCGAUAAGGGGACCCCGAGUGCGAGGGCAUACAGUCCUCGCUUUUGUACACCGUAAGGAGGUGUACGAAUAAGGGCUGGGCAAGACCGGUGCCAGCCGCCGCGGUAAUACCGGCAGCCCGAGUGAUGGCCGCUGUUAUUGGGCCUAAAGCGUCCGUAGCCGGCCGAACAAGUCUGUCGGGAAAUCCAUCUGCCUAACAGAUGGGCGUCCGGCAGAAACUGUUCGGCUUGGGGCCGGAAGAUCCGAGGGGUACGUCCGGGGUAGGAGUGAAAUCCCGUAAUCCUGGACGGACCGCCGGUGGCGAAAGCGCCUCGGAAGGACGGACCCGACGGUGAGGGACGAAAGCUGGGGUCUCGAACCGGA